AGUGAACGCUGGCGGUAGGCCUAACACAUGCAAGUCGAACGGCAGCACAGUAAGAGCUUGCUCUUACGGGUGGCGAGUGGCGGACGGGUGAGGAAUACAUCGGAAUCUACUUUUUCGUGGGGGAUAACGUAGGGAAACUUACGCUAAUACCGCAUACGACCUACGGGUGAAAGCAGGGGAUCUUCGGACCUUGCGCGAUUGAAUGAGCCGAUGUCGGAUUAGCUAGUUGGCGGGGUAAAGGCCCACCAAGGCGACGAUCCGUAGCUGGUCUGAGAGGAUGAUCAGCCACACUGGAACUAAGACACGGUCCAGACUCCUAAGGGAGGCAGCAAUGGGGAAUAUUGGACAAUGGGCGCAAGCCUGAUCCAGCCAUACCGCGUGGGUAAAAAAGGCCUUCAGGUUGUAAAGCCCUUUUGUUGGGAAAGAAAAGCAGCAGGUUGAUACCCCGCUGUUCUGACGGUACCCUAAGAAUAGGCACCGGCUAACUUCGUG
rnacentral:rRNA from 1 species